AUCAGUGAAACUGAUCUCUCCGUGAAGAAGCGGGGAUAUUUACAUAAGACGAGAAGACCCCAUGGAGCUUUAAACCCGAUGUCACCCAUUUUCCUCUACACCCUAAUAUUCAAUUUGGCCCUGCCCUGUCGGUUUUAGGUUGGGGUGACCACGGAGUAUAAUAUACCCUCCAUGAAAAAGGGAGUAAUAAUCCUUAUUAGAGAACAACACUUCUAAAAAUUAAAACAUUAAUUUAUAAUGAUCCGAUAUUCGAUCAACGAACCAAGUUACCCUGGGGAUAACAGCGCAAUCUGCCUCAAGAGCCCCUAUCGACAGGCGGGUUUACGACCUCGAUGUUGGAUCAGGGCAUCCCAGUGGUGCAGCAGCUACUAAAGGUUCGUUUGUUCAACGAUUAAAACCCU
rnacentral:rRNA from 1 species